rnacentral:rRNA from 1 species
AGGUAAGCUACUAAGAGCGAAUGGUGGAUGCCUUGACUGGUAAAGGCGAUGAAGGACGUACUAGACUGCGAUAAGCUACGGGGAGCUGUCAAGAAGCUUUGAUCCGUAGAUUUCCGAAUGGGGCAACCCAAUGUAUAGAGAUAUGCAUUACCUAUAUAGGAGCGAACGAGGGGAAUUGAAACAUCUUAGUACCCUCAGGAAAAGAAAUCAAUAGAGAUUGCGUCAGUAGCGGCGAGCGAAAGCGCAAGAGGGCAAACCCAGUGCUUGCACUGGGGGUUGUAGGACUGCAAUGUGCAAGAGGUAAGUUUAGCAGAACAUUCUGGAAAGUAUAACCAUAGAGGGUGAUAGUCCCGUAUGCGAAAAACAAACCUUAGCUAGCAGUAUCCUGAGUAGGGCGGGACACGAGGAAUCCUGUCUGAAUCCGGGUCGACCACGAUCCAACCCUAAAUACUAAUACCAGAUCGAUAGUGCACAAGUACCGUGAGGGAAAGGUGAAAAGAACUGAGGUGAUCAGAGUGAAAUAGAACCUGAAACCAUUUGCUUACAAUCAUUCAGAGCCCUAUGUAGGAAUACAGGGUGAUGGACUGCCUUUUGCAUAAUGAGCCUGCGAGUUGUGGUGUCUGGCAAGGUUAAGCAAACGCGAAGCCGUAGCGAAAGCGAGUCUGAAUAGGGCGCUUAGUCAGAUGCUGCAGACCCGAAACGAAGUGAUCUAUCCAUGAGCAAGUUGAAGCUAGUGUAAGAACUAGUGGAGGACUGAACCCAUAGGCGUUGAAAAGCCCCGGGAUGACUUGUGGAUAGGGGUGAAAGGCCAAUCAAACUUCGUGAUAGCUGGUUCUCUCCGAAAUAUAUUUAGGUAUAGCGUUGUGUCGUAAUAUAAGGGGGUAGAGCACUGAAUGGGCUAGGGCAUACACCAAUGUACCAAACCCUAUCAAACUCCGAAUACCUUAUAUGUAAUCACAGCAGUCAGGCGGCGAGUGAUAAAAUCCGUCGUCAAGAGGGAAACAACCCAGACUACCAGCUAAGGUCCCUAAAUCUUACUUAAGUGGAAAACGAUGUGAAGUUACUUAAACAACCAGGAGGUUGGCUUAGAAGCAGCCAUCCUUUAAAGAAAGCGUAAUAGCUCACUGGUCUAGUGAUUUUGCGCGGAAAAUAUAACGGGGCUAAAGUAAGUACCGAAGCUGUAGACUUAGUUUACUAAGUGGUAGGAGAGCGUUCUAUUUGCGUCGAAGGUAUACCGGUAAGGAGUGCUGGAGCGAAUAGAAGUGAGCAUGCAGGCAUGAGUAGCGAUAAUUAAUGUGAGAAUCAUUAACGCCGUAAACCCAAGGUUUCCUACGCGAUGCUCGUCAUCGUAGGGUUAGUCGGGUCCUAAGUCGAGUCCGAAAGGGGUAGACGAUGGCAAAUUGGUUAAUAUUCCAAUACCAACAUUAGUGUGCGAUGGAAGGACGCUUAGGGCUAAGGGGGCUAGCGGAUGGAAGUGCUAGUCUAAGGUCGUAGGAGGUUGUACAGGCAAAUCCGUAUAACAAUACUCCGAGAACUGAAAGGCUUUUUGAAGUCUUCGGAUGGAUAGAAGAACCCCUGAUGCCGUCGAGCCAAGAAAAGUUUCUAAGUUUAGCUAAUGUUGCCCGUACCGUAAACCGACACAGGUGGGUGGGAUGAGUAUUCUAAGGCGCGUGGAAGAACUCUCUUUAAGGAACUCUGCAAAAUAGCACCGUAUCUUC